GAUGAACGCUGGCGGCGUGCCUAAUACAUGCAAGUCGAGCGAACAGACGAGGAGCUUGCUCCUCUGACGUUAGCGGCGGACGGGUGAGUAACACGUGGAUAACCUACCUAUAAGACUGGGAUAACUUCGGGAAACCGGAGCUAAUACCGGAUAAUAUAUUGAACCGCAUGGUUCAAUAGUGAAAGACGGUUUUGCUGUCACUUAUAGAUGGAUCCGCGCCGCAUUAGCUAGUUGGUAAGGUAACGGCUUACCAAGGCAACGAUGCGUAGCCGACCUGAGAGGGUGAUCGGCCACACUGGAACUGAGACACGGUCCAGACUCCUACGGGAGGCAGCAGUAGGGAAUCUUCCGCAAUGGGCGAAAGCCUGACGGAGCAACGCCGCGUGAGUGAUGAAGGUCUUCGGAUCGUAAACUCUGUUAUUAGGGAAGAACAAAUGUGUAAGUAACUAUGCACGUCUUGACGGUACCUAAUCAGAAAGCCACGGCUAACUACGU
rnacentral:rRNA from 1 species